rnacentral:tRNA from 1 species
CAUUAGAGAAGCUAAAUUAGCAUUAACCUUUUAAGUUAAAGACUGGGAUUUAAAUUCCCCUCAAUGA